rnacentral:rRNA from 1 species
UACGUAGGGACCGAGCGUUGUCCGGAAUCAUUGGGCGUAAAGAGCGUGUAGGCGGCUUGCUAAGUCUUGCGUGAAAUCUCGGGGGCUCAACCCCCGAGCGGUCGUGGGAAACUGGCAGGCUAGAGUGCGGGAGAGGAGAAUGGAAUUCCUGGUGUAGCGGUGAAAUGCGCAGAUAUCAGGAAGAACACCCGUGGCGAAGGCGGUUCUCUGGAACGCAACUGACGCUGAGACGCGAAAGCGUGGGGAGCAAACAGG